CUUCGAGGCGGGAUGGCCGAGCCAGCGGCGCUAGGACCCCUGGGCAGAGCCUCGGGGAAGGGAGUCGGUGGGCGGGGGGCAAUACCUUACAUGGUGCACCCGCCCCCCUCCCGUGGUCACCAUCUGAGUCCGCUGCCCAAAAUAGCCCCCGGCGCCCGCAGGUCUGCUCCAUGGCCCGGAGAUGGCUGCUGUCUCCGACCCCGUGGGGCUGGGUGCGCCGUGGGGACCGGCGCUCCCCGAGCCCCCUCCCACCCGCUUCCACCCAGUGCACGGUGCCAACAUCCGCGUGGACCUCUCCGGGACGCGGGCCACACGCGUGGAGAGCUUCGCCCACGGCGUGUGCUUCAGUCGCGAGCCGCUGGCCCCCGGCCAGGUGUUCCUGGUUGAGAUCGAGGAGAAAGAGCUGGGCUGGUGCGGGCACCUGCGCCUCGGCCUGACCGCGCUGGACCCCGCCAGUCUGGCCGCCGUGCCCGAAUUUUCGCUACCCGACCUGGUCAGCCUCGGGCACACCUGGGUCUUCGCCAUCACGCGCCAUCACAACCGCGUGCCCCGGGAGGGCCGCCCGGAGGCAGAGGCCCUGGCCCCCAGUCGUCCCCCAGCCCUCCUGGUGGAACCGUAUCUCUGCAUCGAGCAGUUUCGCAUUCCCCGCGACCGCCUGGUCGGCCGCAGCCGGCCGGGUUUGUACAGCCACCUCUUGGAUCAGCUCUAUGAGCUGAAUGUGCUGCCUCCGACCGCGCGCCGCAGCCGCCUGGGCGUUCUCUUCUGCCCGCGCCCGGACGGCACGGCUGACAUGCACAUCGUCAUCAACGGCGAGGACAUGGGCCCCAGCGCCCGGGGGCUGCCAGCCGCCCAGCCCCUCUACGCGGUGGUGGACGUCUUCGCCUCCACCAAGAGCGUGCGCUUGGUCCAGCUGGAGUAUGGCUGCAAGAAUACUGGAGUGGGUUGCCAUGACCUCCUCUAGGGGAUCUUCCUGACCCAGAGAUCGAACCCACAGAUGCUGCAGCUCCUGCGUUGGCAAGUGGAUUCUUUACCACUGAACCGCCUGGGAAGCCAUAUAUCUGAAUUCACAUUUUAUGAAUUCAGUAGACGAGAACCCUCUCUGUGCCAGUGCCGUCCCUGCAGACCCUGUGCCGCCUGGUGAUCCAGAGGAGCGUGGUGCACCGGUUGGCCAUUGAUGGGCUCCAUCUGCCCAAAGGACUUAAGGAUUUCUGCAAGUAUGAGUGAAGGCCUGCACCGCCCUGGAGCAG